GAUGAACGCUGGCGGCGUGCCUAAUACAUGCAAGUCGAGCGAACAGACGAGGAGCUUGCUCCUCUGACGUUAGCGGCGGACGGGUGAGUAACACGUGGAUAACCUACCUAUAAGACUGGGAUAACUUCGGGAAACCGGAGCUAAUACCGGAUAAUAUAUUCAACCGCAUGGUUCAAUAGUGAAAGACGGUUUUGCUGUCACUUAUAGAUGGUUCCGCGCCGCAUUAGCUAGUUGGUAAGGUAACGGGUUACCAAGGCAACGAUGCGUAGCCGACCUGAGAGGGUGGUCGGCCACACUGGAACUGAGACACGGUCCAGACUCCGACGGGAGGCAGCAGUAGGGAAUCUUACGCGAUGGGCGAAAGCCUGACGGAGCAACGCCGCGGGAGGGAUGAAGGUCUUCGGAUCGGAAAGCGCUGUUAUCAGGGAAGAAGAAAUGUGUAAGUAACUAUGAACGUAUUGACGGUACCUAAACAAAAAGCCACGGCUAACUACGUG
rnacentral:rRNA from 1 species